AUGAACGCUAGCUACAGGCUUAACACAUGCAAGUCGAGGGGCAUCAUUUCAGUUUGCUUGCAAACUGGAGAUGGCGACCGGCGCACGGGUGAGUAACACGUAUCCAACCUGCCGAUAACUCGGGGAUAGCCUUUCGAAAGAAAGAUUAAUACCCGAUGGUAUAAUCAGACCGCAUGGUCUUGUUAUUAAAGAAUUUCGGUUAUCGAUGGGGAUGCGUUCCAUUAGGCAGUUGGUGAGGUAACGGCUCACCAAACCUUCGAUGGAUAGGGGUUCUGAGAGGAAGGUCCCCCACAUUGGAACUGAGACACGGUCCAAACUCCUACGGGAGGCAGCAGUGAGGAAUAUUGGUCAAUGGGCGCAGGCCUGAACCAGCCAAGUAGCGUGAAGGAUGACUGCCCUAUGGGUUGUAAACUUCUUUUAUAUGGGAAUAAAGUUUUCCACGUGUGGAAUUUUGUAUGUACCAUAUGAAUAAGGAUCGGCUAACUCCGUGCCAGCAGCCGCGGUAAUACGGAGGAUCCGAGCGUUAUCCGGAUUUAUUGGGUUUAAAGGGAGCGUAGGUGGACAGUUAAGUCAGUUGUGAAAGUUUGCGGCUCAACCGUAAAAUUGCAGUUGAUACUGGCUGUCUUGAGUACAGUAGAGGUGGGCGGAAUUCGUGGUGUAGCGGUGAAAUGCUUAGAUAUCACGAAGAACUCCGAUUGCGAAGGCAGCUCACUGGACUGCAACUGACACUGAUGCUCGAAAGUGUGGGUAUCAAACAGGAUUAGAUACCCUGGUAGUCCACACAGUAAACGAUGAAUACUCGCUGUUUGCGAUAUACAGUAAGCGGCCAAGCGAAAGCAUUAAGUAUUCCACCUGGGGAGUACGCCGGCAACGGUGAAACUCAAAGGAAUUGACGGGGGCCCGCACAAGCGGAGGAACAUGUGGUUUAAUUCGAUGAUACGCGAGGAACCUUACCCGGGCUUAAAUUGCAUUUGAAUAUAUUGGAAACAGUAUAGCCGUAAGGCAAAUGUGAAGGUGCUGCAUGGUUGUCGUCAGCUCGUGCCGUGAGGUGUCGGCUUAAGUGCCAUAACGAGCGCAACCCUUAUCUUUAGUUACUAACAGGUCAUGCUGAGGACUCUAGAGAGACUGCCGUCGUAAGAUGUGAGGAAGGUGGGGAUGACGUCAAAUCAGCACGGCCCUUACGUCCGGGGCUACACACGUGUUACAAUAGGGGGGUACAGAAGGCAGCUACCUGGUGACAGGAUGCUAAUCCCAAAAGCCUCUCUCAGUUCGGAUCGAAGUCUGCAACCCGACUUCGUGAAGCUGGAUUCGCUAGUAAUCGCGCAUCAGCCAUGGCGCGGUGAAUACGUUCCCGGGCCUUGUACACACCGCCCGUCAAGCCAUGAAAGCCGGGGGUACCUGAAGUACGUAACCGCAAGGAGCGUCCUAGGGUAAAACUGGUAAUUGGGGCU
rnacentral:rRNA from 1 species